UGUAUAAUGGGUCAGCGACUUAUAUUCUGUAGCAAGGUUAACCGAAUAGGGGAGCCGAAGGGAAACCGAGUCUUAACUGGGCGUUAAGUUGCAGGGUAUAGACCCGAAACCCGGUGAUCUAGCCAUGGGCAGGUUGAAGGUUGGGUAACACUAACUGGAGGACCGAACCGACUAAUGUUGAAAAAUUAGCGGAUGACUUGUGGCUGGGGGUGAAAGGCCAAUCAAACCGGGAGAUAGCUGGUUCUCCCCGAAAGCUAUUUAGGUAGCGCCUCGUGAAUUCAUCUCCGGGGGUAGAGCACUGUUUCGGCAAGGGGGUCAUCCCGACUUACCAACCCGAUGCAAACUGCGAAUACCGGAGAAUGUUAUCACGGGAGACACACGGCGGGUGCUAACGUCCGUCGUGAAGAGGGAAACAACCCAGACCGCCAGCUAAGGUCCCAAAGUCAUGGUUAAGUGGGAAACGAUGUGGGAAGGCCCAGACAGCCAGGAUGUUGGCUUAGAAGCAGCCAUCAUUUAAAGAAAGCGUAAUAGCUCACUGGUCGAGUCGGCCUGCGCGGAAGAUGUAACGGGGCUAAACCAUGCACCGAAGCUGCGGCAGCGACGCUUAUGCGUUGUUGGGUAGGGGAGCGUUCUGUAAGCCUGCGAAGGUGUGCUGUGAGGCAUGCUGGAGGUAUCAGAAGUGCGAAUGCUGACAUAAGUAACGAUAAAGCGGGUGAAAAGCCCGCUCGCCGGAAGACCAAGGGUUCCUGUCCAACGUUAAUCGGGGCAGGGUGAGUCGACCCCUAAGGCGAGGCCGAAAGGCGUAGUCGAUGGG
rnacentral:rRNA from 1 species